UACGUAGGGGGCAAGCGUUGUCCGGAUUUAUUGGGCGUAAAGAGCUCGUAGGCGGUUGGGCAAGUCACGUGUGAAAUCUCCACGCUCAACGUGGAGGCGCCACGUGAGACUGCCCUGACUCGAGUCCGGUAGGGGAGCGUGGAACUCCCGGUGUAGCGGUGAAAUGCGCAGAGAUCGGGAGGAACACCCGUAGCGAAGGCGGCGCUCUGGGCCGGUACUGACGCUGAGGAGCGAAAGCGUGGGGAGCAAACAGG
rnacentral:rRNA from 1 species